GGCAAUGUAUAGUUUUCCUAAAACAAGUGUCCGAAAAUUGAUGGUGUACGAUCAUUGAUAAUGUACUCUAUUGGACCAUACAAUCCUGAAAGUGCUAAAAUGUUUGCUUAUAUUUUUGGACAUUAUUUGAGUACAAUACAGAUUUCUUAUUCAGUGACUAGUGUACUACUUGACAACAAUAAAGAAUAUCCUUAUUUUCACACUACAAUUCCAAAUGAUGAGUAUUUUAAUGUUGUUAUAAGUAAGCUACUGGAUAACUUUGAUUGGAAGAAAGUGGCCAUUAUAUGAACAUUUGAUGAAGAAAGUGUAUUGGCCUCACAAUAUAUGUUUAAAAAACUUAAGCAUGACAAAAAGCAAGUUCAUCUUUUUCAUUCCUUUAUAAACUCUGCUGAAAGUAUUCUUAACUCUU